rnacentral:misc_RNA from 1 species
GAUGAAGAACGUAGCGAAAUGCGAAAAGUAAUGUGAAUUGCAGAAUUCAGUGAACCAUCGAAUCUUUGAACGCACAUUGCGCCCGCUGGAACUCCGGCGGGCACGCCUGUCCGAGCGUCAUUUCAACCCUCAGGCCCCCCUUCGCGGACGGGCCUGGUGUUGGGGCCCGGCCGCUACCCUGCGGCCGUCCCCUAAAUCCAGUGGCGGCCUCGCCGUGAUCCCUUGCGUAGUAAUGCACCUCGCACCGGAGAGCGCCGUGGCCACGCCGUAAAACCCCCAAUUUUCAAUGGUUGACCUCGGAUCAGGUGGGAAUACCCGCUGAACUUAAGCAUAUCAAUAAGCGGAGGA